AGCAGCCGCGGUAAUUCCAGCUCCAAUAGCGUAUAUUAAAGUUGUUGCAGUUAAAAAGCUCGUAGUUGAACCUUGGCCCUGGUUGAUCGGUCCGCCUCACCGCGUGCACUGAUUCGGCCGGGGCUUUCCUUCUGGGGAACCGCAKGCCCUUCACUGGGUGUGUCGGGGAACCAGGACUUUUACUUUGAAAAAAUUAGAGUGUUCAAAGCAGGCCUAUGCUCGAAUACAUUAGCAUGGAAUAAUAGAAUAGGACGUGUGGUUCUAUUUUGUUGGUUUCUAGGACCGCCGUAAUGAUUAAUAGGGAUAGUCGGGGGCAUCAGUAUUCAAUUGUCAGAGGUGAAAUUCUUGGAUUUAUUGAAGACUAACUACUGCGAAAGCAUUUGCCAAGGAUGUUUUCAUUAAUCAGUGAACGAAAGUUAGGGGAUCGAAGACGAUCAGAUACCGUCGUAGUCUUAACCAUAAACUAUGCCGACUAGGGAUCGGGCGAUGUUAUCUUUUUGACUCGCUCGGCACCUCACGAGAAAUCAAAGUCUUUGG
rnacentral:rRNA from 1 species